GACGAACGCUGGCGGCGUGCCUAAUACAUGCAAGUCGAACGCACAGUUUAUACCGUAGCUUGCUACACCAUAGACUGUGAGUUGCGAACGGGUGAGUAACGCGUAGGUAACCUGCCUGGUAGCGGGGGAUAACUAUUGGAAACGAUAGCUAAUACCGCAUAAUAUUGAUUAUUGCAUGAUAAUUGAUUGAAAGAUGCUAUUGCAUCACUACCAGAUGGACCUGCGUUGUAUUAGCUAGUAGGUGAGGUAACGGCUCACCUAGGCGACGAUACAUAGCCGACCUGAGAGGGUGAUCGGCCACACUGGGACUGAGACACGGCCCAGACUCCUACGGGAGGCAGCAGUAGGGAAUCUUCGGCAAUGGACGAAAGUCUGACCGAGCAACGCCGCGUGAGUGAAGAAGGUUUUCGGAUCGUAAAGCUCUGUUGUAAGAGAAGAACGGGUGUGAGAGUGGAAAGUUCACACUGUGACGGUAUCUUACCUGAAAGGGACGGCUAACUACGUG
rnacentral:rRNA from 1 species